AUGCUGCAGAAGGAUUGCAAUGGGCUGACUGAGCUGAGGAAAACAUCUCCUGAUGGCUUCCAUUUCCUCCACACAGAAGGGAGCAGUGUGGGAGAGCUUCAUCCAUCCACCUGAUUACCAGAGGAGGCUUCACAGCACACACUCCAGAUAACAGAAUCUGUUACACAGCAUUAGACAUUUGAAUGCAGAGGAAAUUUGCUUCUGAGCUGAGGUGCUGCAAUGAAACAGGAGAAGACUUCUGAAAAAAGGAAAGCCAUGUGAGGUUCAAAGUGAGCUCAGCUGCAAUUUGAGCACCUUGAUUGACAUGAGGAGCAAUGACAGAGGGGAAGCGGUGUGCUUUUACUUUCUGAUCAAAUUUGCUUCCUGCCAAGGCUUAUCAAUUGGAUUGCUAUCUCCUAUCUCCCUUGGUUAUGGAUUAAAUAUCAUCUGAAAGCACAUCUCCUGUUCCUCAGAAUCAGCUCUGAUGGGUGAGUGUGACGCCCUUGCAAAAGAGGGAGAAAAUAAACACAGGUGGCAAGGGGCCCAGCAACAAUAAAAGUCUGAAUGAGAACACCUUUAUCACCUCUGCAGCAGCAGCCAAAAGGCCCAAGGAGAGAAAUAGAUUUUGUAAAGCAGGCUAAAUAUUUUUUACAGGGUGCAGAAUGCAACUUAAGAACCCAGCUGGGAAAAAUAGGUUUUGCAAAUGAGUGAAGAAUAUAUAUUUUAUUGGCUGCUUUUUAGAAUCAGAGAGAGAGGAAGAAGGUAGAAGAUAUUUAUAAGGCAAUGAACAAAUAGAAGUGUGUGUGUGCAGAGGGGGUGCUUUGAGCUGAGGUUUUGGGGUGAUGUUUUUUGGAUGUCCAUAGAAGCUUUGUAAAGGAAGCCACCAGCGUUGUGUAGCCAUGUGUACUGGUUCCUAUAAAACCCAUAAGCCUGCUUUAUGGUUUUAAA